rnacentral:rRNA from 1 species
UACGGGAGGCAGCAGUGGGGAAUAUUGGACAAUGGGCGAAAGCCUGAUCCAGCCAUGCCGCGUGUGUGAAGAAGGUCUUCGGAUUGUAAAGCACUUUAAGUUGGGAGGAAGGGCAGUAAAUUAAUACUUUGCUGUUUUUGACGUUACCGACAGAAUAAGCACCGGCUAACUCUGUGCCAGCAGCCGCGGUAAUACAGAGGGUGCAAGCGUUAAUCGGAAUUACUGGGCGUAAAGCGCGCGUAGGUGGUUCGUUAAGUUGGAUGUGAAAUCCCCGGGCUCAACCUGGGAACUGCAUUCAAAACUGACGAGCUAGAGUAUGGUAGAGGGUGGUGGAAUUUUCCUGUGUAGCGGUGAAAUGCGUAGAUAUAGGAAGGAACACCAGUGGCGAAGGCGACCACCUGGACUGAUACUGACACUGAGGUGCGAAAGCGUGGGGAGCAAACAGGAUUAGAUACC